AUGUUCACAGGGUCAAUGUUGCUGGAAAGUUAUCACAAAGAAGACGUCAUUUUGGCCUGCGUUCUUGACGGUGGGUCUACUCCUAGAGGAAGCCUAUCAUCGAAUGAUAGCAGAAAUAAGACUGAUCAAUACAGACUCCUAGAAAUUGACAUAAACUCAAAGUUUUUCAUCAUGAGACCCACGGAACACGAGUACGACGAGCUGCGUCUUUUCAAAUCUCCCAAAGUGCAGAAAGCCUUGCGGUUUUGCCACGAAAACGGCGAGAAAUGGUGCAAGCAGCUCAAGAUCAUCCAUCAUAUUUAUCCAGAGAACGUGGUCAAGGAGCUGAACGCCAUCAACGAAAAAAGUCUCGAGAGCAACAAAAAAGAGAAGAAAUCGAGAAGAGUGUCUCUAGGCGACAAAAAGACGGUCAAGUCUGCUUCCUUCAGAUUUUCCACCUCUUACGGCCCUGAGGAUCCGCGACCCCUGUACAGAAAUCUCAAUGCUCAAAAUGUAGCCUCGAUAGCGACCGCGGUAACGACUACCUCCACUACUAACUCAACGUCGACCUGUGAUUCGAAUUCCCUCUACCUUAAUCUCGCCAACCACAGGCUUAUCCAUAAGAAUUUCGGUGGGAACGAAUGUUUCUCUUUACCAAUGAUGAAAACAGAGAGGAACAUUUUCGACAACGAACUCUUCCGCUCCAAAACAAGUUCCUCUCCCUCUUCGACGAAGCAACCACCACCCCUUCCAUCGAAACCUCCCUCUUCUCGCGGUUCAAAGAAUUAUCUAAAUCCUCCCUCAUCACCCCCUCCUCCCCCACCUGUGUCAAAACCCCCGCCAGCCCCUCCUCAAAACAGCCCCCCUCUGCCUCCACCAAACUUCGUCCUUUCAAACAGUAAUAGCAAUAGCAGCAGCAGUCGAGUGAGCAAGCACAAUGAGAGUAGUCUACCAAAUGUAAAUAGCAUCAACUCAGGAUCCUCAAACGUAAACGAUAGUUUUAGUGAUAGCAACACUUUAAGUGCAAUGGAAAGACUGGAUAUGUUAACCAAUUCAUCGAGUAUAAAAUCAAGAAACGAAGACGCGGACAUCAGCCUAGCUUCCUUAGAUAGUUACCAUAAAUCUGAAAAACUUCCUCAGAGCAAUAAUAGUGGCAAUCGUGGUAGGGACAGCAAUCCGAGCAGCAAUAAAAGUAGUUUAAAAUACAAUCACGUCAGUAGUAUUGAAAUAAGCAACAACGAGAAAAACAUUAUCAUAAAUAAUAGUAGUAAAAGUAGUAAGAGUAGUAAAACAAAAACAGAUAAAGAGCUAGUCACAUAUUUAAACAAAAACAAUCAUGUUACCAAUAGCAAAAGUUCGAGCAACCCGAAAACCAAGCCAGAAAGAGAUAAGAGUGUGGAACAAACAGUUCGUGAUGUUGACAAGUUCAAAAUUGCGCCUGAGGCUGAUUUUAAGUAUAGGGUAAUUAGAAAAACUGUCAACAAUUACUCACACCAGCCCACUCAAGAGCCCAUGUCCUUAGAUAGUGCUGAAAGACCCGUCUACAAGACACGGCUGUUGGUUCAAAAUGUUGAUUCAACCCCUAAAUCCCUAAACAUCCCCUACACACCGGUCAUUGAUCUACCCUUGAAAACCAAUGUCACAAGUAACAAUUUAAAAACGGAAAUCCCGUAUACGAAUGUUAAGGAUGCUAUCUCUCCCAAUGAGUCGGACGUUUCUUCUGGGUCAAGUGAGAAUGUUUACGCCGAAAUCGGCGAUGUUUAUCCAACCAAUGAUCGCAGGUAUUUUUCUUUCAACUACAACAAUAAAGCGAGAUUACGUCCGUUCAAAUUGGAUUACCAAAGUGGCGGUAGUGAUGGAUGUUUUUCUGGUACUAACUCGAGUUCGAAUAAUGAUGGCUCUGUAUGA
rnacentral:lncRNA from 1 species